CUGCUCCUCUGUACAAAAACCACCUCAUCACACAUUUUUCAUCUCUGUAUCACAGCUCACAGAGCCUUGCACCUGGAAUAAGCCAGUCGAACCAAUGUUGGUCUUUCGUCUGAUGAGGGGAGGUCCUUUCUGCCUUUAACGUCGAACCUCCCAUCACAAAAAGCAGCCUCAGACAUUCAGUGGCUGCUGUGGCAGCACUUCAUUUUAAGAAGAUCACUAUGACAACUCAAAUACUCAUUGCAUUUGUAGUCUCAUCUUUGUGGCUUCAAGUCCACUGCCAGGAUGUGACCCAGUACCCUGAAAUCAGAUGGAGCUAUUCGGAUAAAUCUGCGGAGAUGAACUGCAGCCACAAGAGAGAUGCAAGUCAUACCCAGAUGAACUGGUACAGGCAGCGUCCAGGGGAGACCAUGACCCUCAUUGUCUACACAACUUUCGGUGGACAGCCAGACUACGGUGGGGGCCCUCAAGCCAAAUACUCAGCCAUCAAAGAGACCAUAGAGAGCGGGGCUCUUACUGUGAAAGACUUGAAGCUUGAUGACAGCGGUGUGUAUUUUUGUGCUGUCAGCAAACACAGUGAUUUGAGAAGCUGA